rnacentral:rRNA from 1 species
AUACGUAGGGGGCGAGCGUUGUCCGGAAUGAUUGGGCGUAAAGGGCGCGUAGGCGGCCUGUUAAGUCUGGAGUGAAAGUCCUGUUUUCAAGAUGGGAAUUGCUUUGGAUACUGAUGGGCUUGAGUGCAGGAGAGAUUAUCGGAAUUCCCGGUGUAGCGGUGAAAUGCGUAGAGAUCGGGAGGAACACCAGUGGCGAAGGCGGGUAACUGGACUGCAACUGACGCUGAGGCGCGAAAGUGUGGGGAGCAAACAGGAUUAGAUACCCUGGUAGUCCACACUGUAAACGAUGAAUGCUAGGUGUAAGAGGUAUCGACCCCUUUUGUGCCGGAGUUAACACAAUAAGCAUUCCGCCUGGGGAGUACGGCCGCAAGGUUGAAACUCAAAUGAAUUGACGGG